AGCUAGUUGGUGGGGUAACGGCUCACCAAGGCGACGAUACAUAGGGGGACUGAGAGGUUAACCCCCCACACUGGUACUGAGACACGGACCAGACUCCUACGGGAGGCAGCAGUGAGGAAUAUUGGUCAAUGGACGCAAGUCUGAACCAGCCAUGCCGCGUGCAGGAUGACGGCUCUAUGAGUUGUAAACUGCUUUUGUACGAGGGUAAACGCAGAUACGUGUAUCUGUCUGAAAGUAUCGUACGAAUAAGGAUCGGCUAACUCCGUGCCAGCAGCCGCGGUAAUACGGAGGAUUCAAGCGUUAUCCGGAUUUAUUGGGUUUAAAGGGUGCGUAGGCGGUUUGAUAAGUUAGAGGUGAAAUUUCGGGGCUCAACCCUGAACGUGCCUCUAAUACUGUUGAGCUAGAGAGUAGUUGCGGUAGGCGGAAUGUAUGGUGUAGCGGUGAAAUGCUUAGAGAUCAUACAGAACACC
rnacentral:rRNA from 1 species